UUUACUAAUGAUGGAAAUAACUCGAAUGCGUAGGAUUUGGGUAUAUAAAUUUACUAUUGUUGAUUAGUUAUUCUCUAUUGUACAUUUCUUAUGACUUAUUUGAUUAUUAGUUGUUACUAAUAUCAGAAGGUACAAGUGAUGGUGAGUAGGAAACCUAAGAGUGGAUAUUGAGAGUCUCAAUCCAAAGGUAUGGGAUGUUGCAACUGGUGCAAGGCAGUACACUUUCGAAGGUCAUGAUGCUACUCUUGCUCUGGGCUUUUAAGGAUCUUGAAAAUGGAGAAUUCCACCACCAGCAUUGUUUAUCUCCAGCUCAUUGUGGAGACGGCUGCAGUUGUGGAGGUGGUGGUGGAAGAGGUGAGAAAGAUGGCGGGACCCCAUUUUGGCGUUUUGAGUGGCUUAGCCAAAUGCAGGGCCAUGUUGUCUUAGUUGAUACCAAUACAGGUCAUGUUGUUACAACAGGAUUUGAAUUAUGAAUAAAACUAGACGUUGUGGUUUUAGAAGGUGAUUUCAACAAUGAAGAUGAUGAAGGGUGGACUGGCGAAUUGAAUUCGAAAGCCAUGGUGUUAAAGAAUGUGAAGGAAAACGAUCACCAGACUUGUAGGUUGUACUCAAACAAGGUGUUGGGACUUUAUGUGAAGGGAUUCGUGUUCGUGAAGCCGAGGUUGAAGCUUUCACUGUUAAAAGCAUAAAUGAGAAUUAAUGAGAAGCACUACCCACAUACUUUAAAUGACGAGAUAUGGAGAUUGGAGAAAAUUGGCAAGGAUGGAUCACUCCAGAAGAGGCUGAAUAGUUAGUUAUAUAUUUGAGUCCGUCUCAGAGCUUCAUAAAUAGGUUUGAUGACACGAGAAGAUGUUGUAAAAGCGAAGUAACUCACUCGCCCAGUAGUUCAUGGUUGUUGAGGGUGCUACUGAUCACAUUUUGAGUUUCCCGCAUACUUAGUUUCGAAAGACGUCACAAGCAAAGCUGGUCAAGGCUAUAUUUCUCACAACUACAUGAUGCAUUUGGUGCAUGAGGAAUUAUCUUCCAAUGAAGCUAUCCAUGAGGUAGUUCUUUAGUUGAAGAGAUCAAAGGAAUCUACAUAUUUUGCUAGAUUAGUGUGACGCGCUCAAUUUUUUGCUUGAACUCACUAUUGAUAUUAUACAUCUUCCUGAAUGAUUUAAUUUCUUUAUCCCAGAGACUACUUCAAAGGAAUCUACAUAUUUUGCUAGAUUAGCGUGUCACAUAGAUGGUAUCAUAAGAACCCAUACCACUCCUUUCUAGAUGUAAAAAAAGUGGUGAUCCAUCAUUUGAGCAGUUAUUUUUCAAUUUCUUCUAUGUAAGACCUGUUGUAUGUAUAUAUAUACACAUUGGUUGUGUUGGGUGUGUU